rnacentral:sRNA from 1 species
AGCCCUCCCGCCUCCUGCCCACAAUGGCCUCUGCUGACAAGAAUGGCGGGAGCGUGUCCUCUGUGUCCAGCAGCCGCCUGCAGAGCCGGAAGCCACCCAACCUCUCCAUCACCAUCCCGCCACCCGAGAAAGAGACUCAGGCCCCUGGCGAGCAGGACAGCAUGCUGCCUGAGAGGAAGAACCCAGCCUACUUGAAGAGCGUCAGCCUCCAGGAGCCACGCAGCCGAUGGCAGGAGAGCUCAGAGAAGCGCCCCGGCUUCCGCCGCCAGGCCUCACUGUCCCAGAGCAUCCGCAAGGGCGCAGCCCAGUGGUUUGGAGUCAGCGGCGACUGGGAGGGGCAGCGGCAGCACUGGCAGCUCCGCAGCCUGCACCACUGCAGCGUGCGCUACGGCCGCCUGAAGGCCUCGUGCCAGCGUGACCUGGAGCUCCCCAGCCAGGAGGUGCCGUCCUUCCAGGGCACUGAGUCCCCAAAGCCCUGCAAGAUGCCUAAGGUGGGAUCCAUGGGGAAAGGGGGCAGGGGUGGGGACCCUAGUGGCUCUGCUUACCGCCCCCCUCCCUUCCAGAUUGUGGAUCCGCUGGCCCGGGGCCGGGCCUUCCGUCACCCAGAGGAAAUGGACAGGCCCCAUGCCCCGCACCCACCGCUGACCCCCGGAGUCCUGUCCCUCACCUCCUUCACCAGUGUCCGUUCUGGCUACUCCCACCUGCCGCGCCGCAAGAGAAUGUCUGUGGCCCACAUGAGCUUUCAAGCUGCUGCUGCCCUCCUCAAGGGGCGCUCGGUGCUGGAUGCCACCGGACAGCGGUGCCGGGUGAUCAAGCGCAGCUUUGCCUUCCCGAGCUUCCUGGAGGAGGAUGUGGUCGAUGGGGCAGACACGUUUGACUCCUCGUUUUUUAGUAAGGCAAGCAUGGGCUCCAUGCCUGAUGAUGUCUUUGAGUCCCCCCCACUCUCUGCCAGCUACUUCCGAGGGAUCCCACACUCAGCCUCCCCUGUCUCCCCCGAUGGGGUGCAAAUCCCUCUGAAGGAGUGUGGCCGAGCCCCAGUCCCCGGGCCCCGGCGCGGCAAGCGCAUCGCCUCCAAGGUGAAGCACUUUGCCUUUGAUCGGAAGAAGCGGCACUACGGCCUCGGCGUGGUGGGCAACUGGCUGAACCGCAGCUACCGCCGCAGCAUCAGCAGCACUGUGCAGCGGCAGCUGGAGAGCUUCGACAGCCACCGGCCCUACUUCACCUACUGGCUGACCUUCGUCCAUGUAAUCAUCACGCUGCUGGUGAUUUGCACGUAUGGCAUCGCACCCGUGGGCUUUGCCCAGCACGUCACCACCCAGCUGGUGCUGCGGAACAAAGGUGUGUACGAGAGCGUGAAGUACAUCCAGCAGGAGAACUUCUGGGUCGGCCCCAGCUCGGUGAGGGCCCAGGCUGGGGGACAUCAUCUGAGCCAGGAGUCCCUGUGCCCUGUCAUCCCCAGCUGGGCAGAUUGACCUGAUCCACCUGGGGGCCAAGUUCUCGCCCUGCAUCCGGAAGGACCGGCAGAUCGAGCAGCUGGUGCUGCGGGAGCGAGACCUGGAGCGGGACUCAGGCUGCUGUGUCCAGAAUGACCACUCUGGCUGCAUCCAGACCCAGCGGAAGGACUGCUCGGUGGGGGCAGGCCCUCCCUCCUACCCCUGCCAGACCUUGGCCCUGGACUAGCUCCACUUGCCCUGGCCUGGGGGACAGGCCCUUCAAGGGCAGUGACCACGUUCCCUCCUCCCUGCCCCACCCUUCCCAGACCCCCGUAGAUGAGACUGAGCCCUGGGGAGAUGGGAAAAGCCUCUGUCCUUG